rnacentral:rRNA from 1 species
AGGUAAGCUACUAAGAGCGAAUGGUGGAUGCCUUGACUGGUAAAGGCGAUGAAGGACGUACUAGACUGCGAUAAGCUACGGGGAGCUGUCAAGAAGCUUUGAUCCGUAGAUUUCCGAAUGGGGCAACCCAAUGUAUAGAGAUAUACAUUACCUAUAUAGGAGCGAACGAGGGGAAUUGAAACAUCUUAGUACCCUCAGGAAAAGAAAUCAAUAGAGAUUGCGUCAGUAGCGGCGAGCGAAAGCGCAAGAGGGCAAACCCAGUGCUUGCACUGGGGGUUGUAGGACUGCAAUGUGCAAGAGGUGAGUUUAGCAGAACAUUCUGGAAAGUAUAGCCAUAGAGGGUGAUAGUCCCGUAUGCGAAAAACAAACCUUAGCUAGCAGUAUCCUGAGUAGGGCGGGACACGAGAAAUCCUGUCUGAAGCUGGGUCGACCACGAUCCAACCCUAAAUACUAAUACCAGAUCGAUAGUGCACAAGUACCGUGAGGGAAAGGUGAAAAGAACUGAGGUGAUCAGAGUGAAAUAGAACCUGAAACCAUUUGCUUACAAUCAUUCAGAGCCCUAUGUAGCAAUACAGGGUGAUGGACUGCCUUUUGCAUAAUGAGCCUGCGAGUUGUGGUGUCUGGCAAGGUUAAGCAAACGCGAAGCCGUAGCGAAAGCGAGUCUGAAUAGGGCGCUUAGUCAGAUGCUGCAGACCCGAAACGAAGUGAUCUAUCCAUGAGCAAGUUGAAGCUAGUGUAAGAACUAGUGGAGGACUGAACCCAUAGGCGUUGAAAAGCCCCGGGAUGACUUGUGGAUAGGGGUGAAAGGCCAAUCAAACUUCGUGAUAGCUGGUUCUCUCCGAAAUAUAUUUAGGUAUAGCGUUGUGUCGUAAUAUAAGGGGGUAGAGCACUGAAUGGGCUAGGGCAUACACCAAUGUACCAAACCCUAUCAAACUCCGAAUACCUUAUAUGUAAUCACAGCAGUCAGGCGGCGAGUGAUAAAAUCCGUCGUCAAGAGGGAAACAACCCAGACUACCAGCUAAGGUCCCUAAAUCUUACUUAAGUGGAAAACGAUGUGAAGUUACUUAAACAACCAGGAGGUUGGCUUAGAAGCAGCCAUCCUUUAAAGAAAGCGUAAUAGCUCACUGGUCUAGUGAUUUUGCGCGGAAAAUAUAACGGGGCUAAAGUAAGUACCGAAGCUGUAGACUUGCGCACAACUUAGAUUAUUUAAGUUUAGAAUAUGAGAAACUAAGUUAUAUGUUUAGUUAUAUUUUUACUGAUUUUUAUAGAGUAAAGAUAGAAAUAAAACUUAGUAAAAUCAGUAAAAAUAUUCUUAGACUAAAGUUAAGUAGUUUAAGUUGUGUGCAAGUGGUAGGAGAGCGUUCUAUUUGCGUCGAAGGUAUACCGGUAAGGAGUGCUGGAGCGAAUAGAAGUGAGCAUGCAGGCAUGAGUAGCGAUAAUUAAUGUGAGAAUCAUUAACGCCGUAAACCCAAGGUUUCCUACGCGAUGCUCGUCAUCGUAGGGUUAGUCGGGUCCUAAGUCGAGUCCGAAAGGGGUAGACGAUGGCAAAUUGGUUAAUAUUCCAAUACCAACAUUAGUGUGCGAUGGAAGGACGCUUAGGGCUAAGGGGGCUAGCGGAUGGAAGUGCUAGUCUAAGGUCGUAGGAGGUUAUACAGGCAAAUCCGUAUAACAA